rnacentral:lncRNA from 1 species
GGAUAAAUUUACGGAGCGUGAAAUGGAAGGACUAGGAUCAAGCUGUGACAACUUCUAGGGCGACGACUCGCGAAAGGGCUAAACACGCGACUGGAAUGGGACAGUGCUGGGUAAAGCUCGGCGCUUCAGGUGGUAAGAUUUGGGUUGCUUUACGGUCAACCGCAAACCUGAUUUGGAAUCUCAAACACUCUGGCUUCUCCCACAGACCUUGCAGUGGCCAGCGUAACGGAAUCGUACCGAGAGGUAGUGCUGCUGUGUACUGUGCGUGAUUUGGGGCCUCCGGACGACAGUUAACAGUUCCGGCACGCAGGGGACAUCUUAUCGCUUGCGCCACAGCGACGGCCCCCUCAGCAACGAGGAGAAGGCCAUAGAAGAAAUACUUGGUCCACUUUUUCGUUUGGCCCUCGAGGCGCGGUUUGGACGACAGUUGUGCCUACAUGUGUUCACAUCUCUAACACGAGUAGCGCGACUAUGCCUGGAGGAGCAUCC